ensembl:lncRNA
GAAGAACACCUGGCGCCGUGACAGCAUGCAUGCGCCUGGCCCGCCACAGGAGUCUCUAGAGUGCGAUGGGACAAGGAAAUCUCAGCCGGCCAAACCCUCUCCUAACCUGGAUGACGCUGUGCCAAUUGUGCACCACCUCAUGGGUCUCCCAGUCACUGCCAGCUGUGACACAGCCUGGGAUCGAACCUGGGUCUGUGGUGAUGCCUCAAGCCACUACACCACUCUCAAGACCUCUGCAUCACUCUGGAGGCCCCCGCAAAUUGAUUUGAACAAACAAUUGGUCCCCCAAAAAAUGUGUCCCUCCGUUGAAUUUAAAAAUCCAGAUGUGGCCCUCGAGCCAAAAAGUUUGCCCACUCCUGCCCUAGAGGUUUUGAAACUGAUUUAGCCUACUUGUCAUUCCAGAUCUGAAUAUUUGAUAUCCUUUUUACUGUACACUGUUAAUAGCUAAUCACUGAAUGUCCUACUACAAGGAUGUGGUCAGGAUGACACACUUCUGAGUCAAUAACACAGAACACACACACCACAGAUUGCGAGGAUCUGACAACCAGACUUGGUGGGUGUUCCCACCAAACUGUUCCAGCCCUGGAGUGGCACGCUGGAACUUCCAGAGCUGCAGUCGUCUGUCCCUGCAUCUGCUGCAGCGACUGGUGAUACAGAUCUGCCACCCUCAGCAUUUCAGCUGCAGUCACAGCAGUCCUCUGCUGUGGCAUUUAAUUUACCGCCUGCACCAGUUCCUACUACAGUAGCCGUGAAGGGAGAAACUUGUGAGGAUUCCCAGAUGGAUUCAGAUCUGCCAUGCACUCCACCACUGCCCGACAGCCUCACCCAGAAGUGCAUACACUGGGCCUAUCAAGACUGAUAAAGCAGAGAUGGUGGCUGACAAGGAAAAAUAAAACAUGCACACACUCUCUCUCUCUCUGUCACACACACACACACAUUAUCCCCAAUGUAAAGAAAUUGUAAUUACUUGUUUAUUUUAUGGAUGCUCCAGUUUAUUUUAGGAUGGGAGAUAUCUACGCCUGUCUGUCCAUUGUCAGUAUCUACAUAAUUACUCUAAAUAUCUAUCAAAUUCAAAUGUGAUAAUGUGGUAAUAUGUACAGUUUGAGGAAAUUCUGUGUGCUUUUCUUGGAGUUGAGAAACAUGCCUCACUCUCUCUCACACACACAUUAGAC